rnacentral:lncRNA from 1 species
AGUAAUCAUGCAUACAUCUAAUCAUUCAAGUUCGUUGUUGUUUCACUUUUGCAUCUCUGGUUCCUGUUACUUCUGUUUUGUUACGCUUUACUUGAGCUGAAUGUCUAUCAAAAAACAACCCUCUACCUUAUAAGGAGGUGUAAGGUUGCGUACAGCCGUACACCCCACCUACCUGAGUUGUCGUUGUUGUUUGACCAUUCAUACAAUCAACCAUAAACAUCCUCGCUACCUCAUAAGGAGAGGGGUAAGGCUGCGUACACUCCACCUACCUCAGAGUUGUCAUUGUUGUUUGUGACCAUUCAUACAAUCAUCCAUAAACAACCUUGCUACCUCAUAAGGAGGGGUAAGGCUGCGUACACCCCACCUACCCCAGAGUUGUUGUCGUUGUUUGACCAUUCAUGCAAUCAUCCAUAAACAACCUCGCUUACCUCAUAAGGAGGGGUAAGGCUGCGUACACCCCACCUACCCCAGAGUUGUCGUUGUUGUUUCACCAUUCGUACAAUAAAUUUUCUCAUAACUUGACAAUCAAUGUAAUUGUGUUUAGCAAGUCUGUAUAAGUAAUCAUGCAUACAACGAACAACGAUAAAGUAAAAAUACAUAAAAGUAAUUGAUUCAUCAUCUGUCAUCUAUCAAUUCCACCAUUCCAAUUCUUUUUGACUAUUAGGGGUCGUUUGGUGUGAUGAGGUAUAAGGGAUAAAUGGUCCCGCGAUAAAAUGAAGCACUAUUUUAUCCCAUGUUUGGUGUGAGGUAUUAGUUAGUACCAGCAUUAUUUAU